rfam:Pseudogymnoascus pannorum VKM F-103 contig_1319, whole genome shotgun sequence.
GGUGGAAUGGUGUAAUGGUAGCACGUGACGUUGUGGUAUAACACUCACCUGUUGUAACAUACAAUCCCGUUUCAAUCUGGGUUCGAUUCCCAGUUCCGCCA